rnacentral:rRNA from 1 species
GAUGAACGCUGGCGGCGUGCCUAAUACAUGCAAGUCGAGCGAACAGAUAAGGAGCUUGCUUCUUUGAUGUUAGCGGCGGACGGGUGAGUAACACGUGGAUAACCUACCUAUAAGACUGGGAUAACUCCGGGAAACCGGGGCUAAUACCGGAUAACAUUUUGAACCGCAUGGUUCUAAAGUGAAAGAUGGUCUUACUGUCACUUAUAGAUGGAUCCGCGCCGUAUUAGCUAGUUGGUAAGGUAACGGCUUACCAAGGCAACGAUACGUAGCCGACCUGAGAGGGUGAUCGGCCACACUGGAACUGAGACACGGUCCAGACUCCUACGGGAGGCAGCAGUAGGGAAUCUUCCGCAAUGGGCGAAAGCCUGACGGAGCAACGCCGCGUGAGUGAUGAAGGUCUUCGGAUCGUAAAACUCUGUUAUUAGGGAAGAACAAAUGUGUAAGUAACUGUGCACGUCUUGACGGUACCUAAUCAGAAAGCCACGGCUAACUACGUG